UACCAGGGCCACACUCGCUGCUCCACGUGUGUCCACGCGGCUGCGUCUGCACAGUGAGCGGGAAGCCGCGCCUCACUCGCGUGAUUGCAAAAGGGAGCAGCUUCGGGUGGCGACAGUGCGGUGGGCUGGCGCGGGAUGUUUCCUUCCACCCCACCCCCCGCUCGCCCGACGGUGCCACGGAGUUGCGGGGCCGCGGCCGCACGGGGGCUCAAACCUGGGAUGUCUGUGCCCAGUAACUGAGUUUAGAGGCAGUUCGUUUUCAGAGCCACUUCGCAUAUGACGUCUCUAAGGUCAGCGUAGUCAGGCCGUGAGGGUCUGCAAAGCUCCACAGGGGCGAGAGGCACCUGCUCACAGUCGCAAUGCGGCUGGCGGAGGGCAGGAGGCUGCGACUGAUCUGGGACCGGCUCAGGCCGCCCACGAAGGCAUCCUUGCAGUCCAAGCUGUGUGUUAGAAUAUGGAACAUUGUCACAGUUUUCAUAAAAUAGCAAACAUGACCAAGUGCAGUGGCACACACCUAUAGUCCCAGGUACUUGGAAAGCCAGGCAUUUUGGACCCUGUCUCUACAAAAAGAUGAAUAAUAAUAAAAAAAAAGAUAUAUCACAGCUGAAGGGAGCUGGGAGGGUCUUUUUCCUUGGGAAUGCUGAAUAAACUGGGUGUUACCCGCCCGAGCCUUUUUUGUUUGUUUUUCCCUCCAGGACAUGAAGCAGACGCCUGUGUUUUGACUGUGACCUGUCACAUGGAGGUCAGGUUGCCGUGUGCUCAGGGCGCGUCCGUGCGGAGCUGCGGCAUUCGCAAGGCACCUACACCCGACACUCCACACGCUCCUCCUCCGAGUUCCAGUACGUUUCGGCCAUUGGAAAACCGUGUUUGGAGGGCAGCGGGGCUCACCCAGGCCCACUGCAAAGGCAGCAAACACCCCAGGUGGAAGCCGAGCGCACCGAGGCAGGCCUGGGGCAGUCGCGCUGCACGCCAGGCGGGUUUCUGUGCAGGUGACAGCUUUCAGGAGGACCCAGCAAACUGGACUCCGCUGUGGUGAUGACAGCUGCCCAGAGGGUCGGGUACCUUGCAAGAAGAGCUUACCAAGUUGUAAUGAUGUUACAAGAAUGCUCACAAUAGAUUUGUCAAGUUUUCUUUAAAAAGGUAUGUCACAACACAGCAUUUCAGUCUGCUCCAGUCUCCUAAGAAAGAGUAUAUAGUUAAAUUUAUACAGAGAAAAAACUGGCCAGGGAGAACAUUGUAUUCCUUAGCUUUUCUGGCUAUAAUGAACAGAGACUCACCGAAAUUUCCCAAAAAGGGAGAGGCUCAUGCGAGGAAGCCCCUGCUCAAGGACACGGGGAAAGCCACUAACAGUCAGGACUGAGGGUUACCCCGAAUCGCAGCAGGUCUAGUGGCUUCUGCAUAGGAGCCUGUGCGACAGCUUUGUUCUGCCCUUGUGACCGGCCAGCUUCCUCACAUUCCUUUCUGUAUCUUUUCUCUUUCUCAUAGCUUCUACUUAGAUUUUCUUCCCUUCACAAUUUCAGCCCACCCAGGACCCACCAGGGCCACCCCGGCCCUCCCCAUGCAAUUAGAAUCUUCCAGCUAAGUUCCCACCGCCAGCUGCUUCCUUCUCUCCGGGGACUUCUGGUGCUGACACCGCAGGGGAGCAUCCUUGGCCCACCUGUGUUUGCGCCCAGCCCAGGUGACGCGGUGGAGCAGCUCUGGGACACCUGUGGUCCCGGCCCACUUAGCAAGGCAGCUGGGCUACUGUGUCUUAGCCCCUUAGUGCUGGGGGUGGCGGAGAGGGGGGACUUAAGAAAGAAAGAGCUGGAGGUGUAAGCACCAUGAGCAGCACAGAUCAUGUGCACAACAGGCGAACACAACAACGAGUGAUAGAAGAGGAUGUACACCCCACCUUGGAAUACAGCUGUUCCUGGCGGGCUGGAGCCCCAGGAGCUGCACCUGGGGCGUCCCAUGCUGGCAGAAGGCAGGGACACUCUUCCCACCGUGGUCUGAUCCGCACCGGAAGAACAGCCCCCACCCCUGCCUACUCGGCCUGUCCCCUCAUGGCUCCUGGUUCCCAGCACAAAUGUCUGAAUUUGCAAAACGAGUAAAUCACAGGUGGUUAUUUUUUCAAUCUAUUUUAGGUACCCAUUAUCAUCGGGAGAGUAAAGCAUUAAAUGAAAAAUAAUUUUCUCCUUUCCCCCACUUUCAAUGGAAGGUUUUUUUCUUUUUCCUUACAGGUUAGAGAGAACAAGAAUAGGAGAGUCUGUGACAAAGACACAGAUGUCAGGAGACCCACGAGCAGAAGGGCCCUCCUUCCCCGACACACCUCCACGCAGAGCUGGGCUCUGCCGCUUGAAUUUCAUCUUCGGAACUGCUGAACACCUGCACCGACUGCAUUUCAUUCACAAUUCCUAAUCAAGGUUGAAGGAACAAGCUCUUUGUGCCACAUUCCGUACUUGUGCAGAAAGGUCCCUGGGCAGAAUCCUGGUCUGUCUGUUCAAAGCAACCCACAAAAGAGACUUGUGAACACUCUGCCAGACAAGUCGCGUUGCGAUGAGCACACUGACGCUUCUUCUCCCCGUCCUGGGAGCGUGUGAACUCUACAGAGCUGGCGGCCGCGGGGCAAGAGCGAGCAGAGGCGGUCACGGAGGCCCUGCUGCGGGCCGGCAGGUGAGGGGCAGGAAAGCCGUGAAGAGCCGCAGCUUCACAGAGCGUACUGUAGGGACAGAUGCGAGCUGUGGUUAGUGUGUUUCGUGUGAUUAGAAAUAUAUUCUUCAGAAUCAUUCUCAUGGCAUUUUAAAACCAAGCUUUGGGGUUUCUUGCGGGUGUUCUUACUGGUUCUGAUCAGAGGACACUGGAGCGCAGCUGCGCAAACGCGUGCGAGGACCGAAUCUGCGUCCUGAACCCCGCGAGGAGAAAGAAGUAAGUCCACGGUAGGAGAAGGCACGCACUGCAGCAUCACCUGUCCCUAAAACUUGCUGCUUGAAUAUGAGAUCCAGUGUGGAAACUGUUCACUGGGGUUUCAGAACUGAAUCUAUGUCACGCUCCAUCCCAAACCGGAUCGGCGGCAGUGGGUGUCUCCACUUAGGGAGACGGCGUCCCCCCCUCACGCGUUCACGCUGGUAUCCAACUGUGGGUCCUGGACAUGCUGCCAACGCACUUUCUGGGCACCGACAACCAAGGCGCCGCGACGCCGUGGGAGGCGCCUCUGUCCUCAGCCUCCUCUCCUGGCUGGCGGCAGGUGCUUCUGCUUGGAGCUCCCGCGGACCCUCUCUGCUGGCCCUGCUGACGGGGCGGGCGCUGUUUCCUUGUCAUUUUCUCCCAUUGAACCUGAUCCCAUUUUACCUGAUUUUUUUUUUUUCAGGAAAAAUACUUCUGUUUAUAUCUCUUUAGUUUAAAUUUUAGUUACUUUUUGAAAAGGCAAUACAUUUUCAUGGCUCAAAAUCGAAAGGCACAGAGGAGUGCACAGUGAAGUCUUCUGCCCCUAUCCCCGCCCUGGAGGCAGCCAGUGUGUUUUCUUGUGAAUCCUUCCAGAUAUGUUAUUUGCAAACAAGCAAAUAUGCACAUACCUUUCUCUCUCUUUUUAAAAUGAUAUGUAGUUCUGCACCUUAUGUUUUUCUGUUAACAUAUUUAGAAAUGGUUCCUAUCAACCCAUAGUAGCCCAAUGUAAGCAUGCAUAUAAUUUAAUCAGCUACCAUGGUUGGACAUUUAAGUCCAAAACUUUGCCAUAACGAUGGCUCCUAGACAUGAAACAGCCGGGUCAACGCAUCUGUGCCACAUGCACCCUUCUCCCCACAUGCCAUGCGUGCUCUGCAACUGGGUUCCUGUAAUCUCCCCAGGGUGGUGUUUGAUAACUUUCUGAUGAGUGUCAAUUUAAUAGAUGAAGAAUGUUGAUCAUUGUCAAUUUGAUAGAUGAAAAAUGGUAUCUCUAUGUUUUCAUGUGUUCACAUUCUAAAAUUGCAUUUCUCAGAUUGUGAGACAGAGAAUCUUCUUAAGUGUUUAAUGUUCACUGUGUUUCCUGUUCUGAAUAGUCCAUUUAUAUGCUUCAGCCAUUUUUAAACAUCAGGUUGUUAUUAUUUUUCUUCCUGACAUAUCAAGAAAAAAUUUCCCAAUUUCCCAUUUGUUUUUUUCAUUGUUUAUGGUGUGUUUUUCAUUCCCAAACUUAAUUUUAGUUUUGUAGUAAAAUAUAUCAAUCUUCUCCUUUACUGGCUCUCAGAUUUUUAUAAUGCAAUUAGAAAUGUCUUUCCCACAUUGAGCUUAAAAAAUAAUUCUCUCUUUUGGGGUACUCUUGUGGUUUAACUUUUUGCAUUUAAAUCCCUGAUUUUAUUUAUUUUGGUACAGGGUGUGACAUAUGGUUCCAACUUUAUUCUUUUUCAGAUGGUUACCCAGUUGUCCCCAUGUUUACUUAAUUAUUAAUUAUUAAUACAAUUUCCCUCUGGUGUACAAUACCAUCUUUAUCUUCCACUUCACAUUUUAUACAUUUGGAACUAUUUCUAGACUUUCUAUAUCAUAGAUAUGUCUGUUUAUAUGCCAGUACCACACUGGUUUAAUUACUAUAGCACUUAUAGCAUGUUUUAAUAUCCCUAACCUGGUUUUAAAAUGUAUUUUCUAAGCAAUUUAGUAUUAGUUGGUGUUUUCUUUUUCCAGAUGCAAGCAACAGAAAUAGAUUCUUAAACAAGAAAAACAUUUAAUUGGGAGUUUGUUGGGGUAGCUUUCAGAAUUGAAGGAGUCUAAUUGGGAAGAAGAGAAUUCCAUUGAUAGAACUUUUCUCCAAAGUGAUGUCAUUAACAGGACAGGUUUCUGGGUAACUUUCUUCACGUUUCAAAUUUCUGAGACAGAGAUGAGCUGUCCUGGUGCAGGUCAGAUAUCUUGGCCCCAGAAUCAAUCAUCUGUGACGGGAAUGCAUGUUUAUUACAUCACAGAACAGGACACUGAGAGGUCAUAGUGAGAAGGAAGUUACUCCAGUUAAUGUCUACUACACAACAGGAUUCUUGAUGCCAUCCUUUUCUUUUCUUUAUUAUUUCCU